rnacentral:tRNA from 1 species
AGGAGUGUAGCUUAACUGGAUCAAAGCAUCAGUCUCCAAAACUGACGAAUGCGGGUUCAAAUCCUGCCGCUCCUGCCA